rnacentral:tRNA from 1 species
AGCAACGUGGUCUAGUGGUCAGAACGCUGGGCUUGUAAUCCUGGGGUCCCGGGUUCGAUUCCCGUUGGUGUCC